UGCCUUAGUAACGGCGAGUGAAGCGGCAACAGCUCAAAUUUGAAAGCUGGCCCUUUUAGGGUCCGCGUUGUAAUUUGUAGAGGAUGAUUCGGCGAGGGCUCCUGCCUAAGUCCCCUGGAACGGGGCGUCAUAGAGGGUGAGAAUCCCGUAUGCGGUAGGUUGCCUUAGCCAUGUGAAUCUCCUUCGACGAGUCGAGUUGUUUGGGAAUGCAGCUCUAAAUGGGAGGUAAAUUUCUUCUAAAGCUAAAUACUGGCCAGAGACCGAUAGCGCACAAGUAGAGUGAUCGAAAGAUGAAAAGCACUUUGGAAAGAGAGUUAAAAAGUACGUGAAAUUGUUGAAAGGGAAGCGCUUGCAACCAGACUUGUCCGCAGUUGCUCAGCCGGUCUCCUGACCGGCGUACUCUUCUGCGGCCAGGCCAGCAUCAGUUCGGGCGGUCGGAUAAAGGCCUCGGGAAUGUAGCUCCUCUCGGGGAGUGUUAUAGCCCGGGGUGGAAUGCGACCAGCCUGGACUGAGGAUCUCGCUUCGGCAAGGAUGCUGGCGUAAUGGUUGUAAGCGGCCCGUCUUGAAACACGGACCAAGGAGUCUAACAUCUAUGCGAGUGUUCGGGUGUCAAACCCGUACGCGUAAUGAAAGUGAACGGAGGUGGGAACCCGCAAGGGUGCACCAUCGGCCGAUCCUGAUGUCUUCGGAUGGAUUUGAGCAAGAGCAUAGCUGUUGGGACCCGAAAGAUGGUGAACUAUGCCUGAAUAGGGUGAAGCCAGAGGAAACUCUGGUGGAGGCUCGCAGCGGUUCUGACGUGCAAAUCGAUCGUCAA
rnacentral:rRNA from 1 species